UACGUAGGGGGCAAGCGUUGUCCGGAAUCAUUGGGCGUAAAGCGCGCGUAGGCGGCCCGGUAAGUCCGCUCUGAAAGUCCAGGGCUCAACCCUGGAAAGCGGGUGGAUACUGCCGGGCUAGAGUCCGGAAGAGGCGAGUGGAAUUCCUGGUGUAGCGGUGGAAUGCGCAGAUAUCAGGAGGAACACCCGUGGCGAAGGCGGCCCCCUGGGCCGUACCUGACGCUGAGGCGCGAAGGCUAGGGGAGCGAACGGG
rnacentral:rRNA from 1 species